rnacentral:rRNA from 1 species
UACGUAGGUGGCAAGCGUUGUCCGGAAUUAUUGGGCGUAAAGCGCGUGUAGGCGGUCCUUUAAGUCUGAUGUGAAAGCCCACGGCUCAACCGUGGAGGGUCAUUGGAAACUGGGGGACUUGAGUGCAGAAGAGGAGAGUGGAAUUCCACGUGUAGCGGUGAAAUGCGUAGAGAUGUGGAGGAACACCAGUGGCGAAGGCGACUCUCUGGUCUGUAACUGACGCUGAGGCGCGAAAGCGUGGGGAGCAAACAGG